rnacentral:rRNA from 1 species
AUUGAACGCUGGCGGCAGGCCUAACACAUGCAAGUCGAACGAGUGGCGGACGGGUGAGUAAUGUCUGGGCAACUUACUGAUGGAGGGGGAUAACUACUGGAAACGGUAGCUAAUACCGCCUACCAUCGGAUGUGCCCAGAGGGUAUUAGCUAGUAGGUGGGGUAAAGGCUCACCUAGGGGACGAUCCCUUGCUGGUCUGAGAGGAUGACCCGCAACACUGGAAUUGAGACACGGUCCAGAUUCCUAUGGGAGGCAUCAGUGGGGAAUAUUGCACAAUGGGCGCAAGCCUGAUGAAGCCAUGCCGCGUGUAUGAAGAGGGCCUUCGGGUUGUAAGGUACUUUCAGCGGGGAGGCGUUACCGGCAGAAGAAGCACCGGCUAACUCCGUGCCAGCAGCCGCGGUAAUUC